rnacentral:SRP_RNA from 1 species
ACCAACCGGGGGAGUAGCGGACCCUUGAACCUGAAAUCCGCUAUACGCAGGGGAGGAUCCCCCUUUUGAGGGACGAGCGCCUGCAAACGAAGCGGCUUUCUUCGUGUUGAGAAGCGGGACUUACGCAAUCGGGCAUUCCGAACCAUGUCAGGUGGGGAACCAAGCAGCAUUCAAGAAUUCCCCCGAUGUGCCGUAAGACCACCUGCUUUGAGCGAAAAAGCCGAUGUUCCUGCGGGUGUGACUUUCG